rnacentral:rRNA from 2 species
UGGGGAAUAUUGCACAAUGGGCGCAAGCCUGAUGCAGCCAUGCCGCGUGUAUGAAGAAGGCCUUCGGGUUGUAAAGUACUUUCAGCGGGGAGGAAGGGAGUAAGUUAAUACCUUUGCUCAUUGACGUUACCCGCAGAAGAAGCACCGGCUAACUCCGUGCCAGCAGCCGCGGUAAUACGGAGGGUGCAAGCGUUAAUCGGAAUUACUGGGCGUAAAGCGCACGCAGGCGGUUUGUUAAGUCAGAUGUGAAAUCCCCGGGCUCAACCUGGGAACUGCAUCUGAUACUGGCAAGCUUGAGUCUCGUAGAGGGGGGUAGAAUUCCAGGUGUAGCGGUGAAAUGCGUAGAGAUCUGGAGGAAUACCGGUGGCGAAGGCGGCCCCCUGGACGAAGACUGACGCUCAGGUGCGAAAGCGUGGGGAGCAAACAGG